UGGGGAAUAUUGGACAAUGGGCGAAAGCCUGAUCCAGCCAUGCCGCGUGUGUGAAGAAGGUCUUCGGAUUGUAAAGCACUUUAAGUUGGGAGGAAGGGCAGUUACCUAAUACGUGAUUGUUUUGACGUUACCGACAGAAUAAGCACCGGCUAACUCUGUGCCAGCAGCCGCGGUAAUACAGAGGGUGCAAGCGUUAAUCGGAAUUACUGGGCGUAAAGCGCGCGUAGGUGGUUUGUUAAGUUGGAUGUGAGAUCCCCGGGCUCAACCUGGGAACUGCAUUCAAAACUGACUGACUAGAGUAUGGUAGAGGGUGGUGGAAUUUCCAGUGUAGCGGUGAAAUGCGUAGAUAUAGGAAGGAACACCAGUGGCGAAGGCGACCACCUGGACUAAUACUGACACUGAGGUGCGAAAGCGUGGGGAGCAAACA
rnacentral:rRNA from 1 species